rnacentral:rRNA from 1 species
CUACGGGCGGCAGCAGUGGGGAAUAUUGCACAAUGGAGGAAACUCUGAUGCAGCAACGCCGCGUGGAGGAUAACACUUUUCGGAGCGUAAACUCCUUUUAUAUAGGAAGAAGAUGACGGUACUAUAUGAAUAAGCGCCGGCUAACUCCGUGCCAGCAGCCGCGGUAAUACGGAGGGCGCAAGCGUUACUCGGAAUCACUGGGCGUAAAGAGCGUGUAGGCGGAUUAAAAAGUCAGAGGUGAAAUCCUAUAGCUUAACUAUAGAACUGCUUCUGAAACUCUUAAUCUAGAAUAUGGGAGAGGUAGAUGGAAUUUCUGGUGUAGGGGUAAAAUCCGUAGAGAUCAGAAGGAAUACCGAUUGCGAAGGCGAUCUACUAGAACAUUAUUGACGCCGAGACGCGAAAGCGUGGGGAGCAAACAGGAUUAGAUACCCCCGUAGUC